rnacentral:rRNA from 1 species
UACGGGGGGGGUAAGCGUUGUUCGGAAUUACUGGGCGUAAAGGGCUCGUAGGCGGCCAACUAAGUCGGACGUGAAAUCCCUCAGCUUAACUGGGGAACUGCGUCCGAUACUGGAUGGCUUGGAUUUGGGAGAGGGAUGCGGAAUUCCAGGUGUAGCGGUGAAAUGCGUAGAUAUCUGGGGGAACACCGGUGGCGAAGGCGGCAUCCUGGACCAAUAUUGACGCUGAGGAGCGAAAGCUAGGGGAGCAAACGGG